rnacentral:lncRNA from 1 species
UUUGGUGUCGUCAGUGCACACGAGGGGGCUGGACUUCGCCUGUGAUAUCUACAUCUGGGCGCCCUUGGCCGGGACUUGUGGGGUCCUUCUCCUGUCACUGGUUAUCACCCUUUACUGCAACCAGGAACCGAAGACGUGUUUGCAAAUGUCCCCGGCCUGUGGUCAAAUCGGGAGACAAGCCCAGCCUUUCGGCGAGAUACGUCUAACCCUGUGCAACAGCCACUACAUUACUUCAAACUGAGAUCCUUCCUUUUGAGGGAGCAAGUCCUUCCCUUUCAUUUUUUCCAGUCUUCCUCCCUGUGUAUUCAUUCUCAUGAUUAUUAUUUUAGUGGGGGCGGGGUGGGAAAGAUUACUUUUUCUUUAUGUGUUUGACGGGAAACAAAACUAGGUAAAAUCUACAGUACACCACAAGGGUCACAAUACUGUUGUGCGCACAUCGCGGUAGGGCGUGGAAAGGGGCAGGCCAGAGCUACCCGCAGAGUUCUCAGAAUCAUGCUGAGAGAGCUGGAGGCACCCAUGCCAUCUCAACCUCUUCCCCGCCCGUUUUACAAAGGGGGAGGCUAAAGCCCAGAGACAGCUUGAUCAAAGGCACACAGCAAGUCAGGGUUGGAGCAGUAGCUGGAGGGACCUUGUCUCCCAGCUCAGGGCUCUUUCCUCCACACCAUUCAGGUCUUUCUUUCCGAGGCCCCUGUCUCAGGGUGAGGUGCUUGAGUCUCCAACGGCAAGGGAACAAGUACUUCUUGAUACCUGGGAUACUGUGCCCAGAGCCUCGAGGAGGUAAUGAAUUAAAGAAGAGAACUGCCUUUGGCAGAGUUCUAUAAUGUAAACAAUAUCAGACUUUUUUUUUUUAUAAUCAAGCCUAAAAUUGUAUAGACCUAAAAUAAAAUGAAGUGGUGAGCUUAACCCUGGAAAAUGAAUCCCUCUAUCUCUAAAGAAAAUCUCUGUGAAACCCCUAUGUGGAGGCGGAAUUGCUCUCCCAGCCCUUGCAUUGCAGAGGGGCCCAUGAAAGAGGACAGGCUACCCCUUUACAAAUAGAAUUUGAGCAUCAGUGAGGUUAAACUAAGGCCCUCUUGAAUCUCUGAAUUUGAGAUACAAACAUGUUCCUGGGAUCACUGAUGACUUUUUAUACUUUGUAAAGACAAUUGUUGGAGAGCCCCUCACACAGCCCUGGCCUCUGCUCAACUAGCAGAUACAGGGAUGAGGCAGACCUGACUCUCUUAAGGAGGCUGAGAGCCCAAACUGCUGUCCCAAACAUGCACUUCCUUGCUUAAGGUAUGGUACAAGCAAUGCCUGCCCAUUGGAGAGAAAAAACUUAAGUAGAUAAGGAAAUAAGAACCACUCAUAAUUCUUCACCUUAGGAAUAAUCUCCUGUUAAUAUGGUGUACAUUCUUCCUGAUUAUUUUCUACACAUACAUGUAAAAUAUGUCUUUCUUUUUUAAAUAGGGUUGUACUAUGCUGUUAUGAGUGGCUUUAAUGAAUAAACAUUUG